rnacentral:rRNA from 1 species
GACGAACGCUGGCGGCGUGCCUAAUACAUGCAAGUAGAACGCUGAAGGCGGAGCUUGCUUCUCUGGAUGAGUUGCGAACGGGUGAGUAACGCGUAGGUAACCUGCCUUGGAGCGGGGGAUAACUAUUGGAAACGAUGGCUAAUACCGCAUAAGAGUAGCUGUUGCAUGACAUGUGCUUAAAAGGUUCAAUGGCUUCACUACGAGUUGGGCCUGCGUUGUAUUAGCUUGUUGGGGGGGUAACGGCUCACCAAGGCGAGGAGCCGUAGCCGAACGGUGAGGGGGAUCGGCCACACUGGGACUGAGACACGGCCAAGACGCCUAAGGGAGGCACCAGUAGGGAAUGUUCGGCAAUGGACGGAAGUCUGACCGAGCAACGCCGCGUGAGUGAAGAAGGUUUUCGGAUCGUAAAGCUCUGUUGUAAGAGAAGAACGAGUGUGAGAGUGGAAAGUGCACACUGUGACGGUAUCGUAACAGAAAGGGACGGCUAAUUACGU